rnacentral:rRNA from 1 species
UAUAAAUUACGAAAGCAAAAAAUUAUGGCGGUAUCUUAAGCUUUUCAGAGGAAUUUGCUCUUUAAUGGAUAAAACACCCAAAUCUUACUUAGAUUGGUUAAAUCAGUUUGUAUACCACUAUAAAAAUUAUAAUUUACUUUUAUUAUUUCUCUUCUUUAAAGAAAUAAAUUAAGUCAAGGUGCAGCUAAAAUUUAAGGUUGAAGUGAAUUACAUUUCUUUAAAGAAAUAAAACAAUGAAAUAAAAUAUAGGAUUUGAUAGUAAAAUUAAAAUAGAAAGUUAAUA